rnacentral:rRNA from 1 species
UCCCCUAGUAACUGCGAGUGAAGCGGGAAAAGCUCAAAUUUAAAAUCUGGCAGUUUCACUGUCCGAAUUGUAAUCUGGAGAAGCAUUUUCCGCGUCAGACCGUGUACAAGUCUCUUGGAACAGAGCGUCAUAGAGGGUGAGAAUCCCGUCCAUGACACGGACUACUGAUGCUUUGUGAUAUGCUCUCGAAGAGUCGAGUUGUUUGGGAAUGCAGCUCAAAAUCGGGUGGUAAAUUCCAUCUAAAGCUAAAUAUUGGCGAGAGACCGAUAGCGAACAAGUACCGUGAGGGAAAGAUGAAAAGCACUUUGGAAAGAGAGUUAAACAGUACGUGAAAUUGUUGAAAGGGAAACGCUUGAAGUCAGUCGCGUUGUCUGAGACUCAGCCUUGCUUGCAUGGUGUACUUCUCAGUUAACGGGUCAACAUCAAUUUCAGUUGGUGGAUAAAGGCAUUGGGAAUGUGGCACCUUCGGGUGUGUUAUAGCCCUUUGUUGCAUACACUGACCGGGAUUGAGGAACGCAGCACGCCACUAAGGCCAGGGGUUCGCCCCAUGUAACGUGCUUAGGAUGUUGGCAUAAUGGCUUUAAGCGACCCGUCUUGAAACACGGACCAAGGAGUCUAACAUGCCUGCGAGUAUUAGGGUGGAAAACCCUUGUGCGUAAUGAAAGUGAAAGUUGGGACCUCUUGCGAGGGCACCGACGCCCGGCCCUGAAGUUUACGGACGGUGCUGCGGUAGAGCAUGUAUGUUGGGACCCGAAAGAUGGUGAACUAUGCCUGAAUAGGGUGAAGCCAGGGGAAACUCUGGUGGAGGCUCGUAGCGAUUCUGACGUGCAAAUCGAUCGUCAAAUUUGGG